AAAUUAUCAACCAUGACUUGGGUUUAGGCCCUCGUUCUUGGCUUGGAUUUGGGUGCUUGCGGUCUUGCGCUGCUCACCUCAAAAGGAUUAGCUGGACAUGUCGCGAGACUUGGUUCUACUUGGCGUAAUAAGUAUUUCGCUGAGGACAUCCCUCCUGGGGUGGCCAGGGUUCCGGCAAACGUCUGCUCUCUAACUCGAUCGUCCUCGGACAUCACUUUUUUAUG
rnacentral:misc_RNA from 1 species